rnacentral:rRNA from 1 species
UACAUAGGGGGCAAGCGUUAUCCGGAAUUAUUGGGUGUAAAGGGUGCGUAGACGGAGAAACAAGUUGGUUGUGAAAUCCCUCGGCUCAACCGAGGAACUGCAACCAAAACUAUUUCCCUUGAGUGUCGGAGAGGAAAGUGGAAUUCCUAGUGUAGCGGUGAAAUGCGUAGAUAUUAGGAGGGACACCAGUGGCGAAGGCGACUUUCUGGACGAUAACUGACGUUGAGGCACGAAAGUGUGGGGAGCAAACAGG